rnacentral:tRNA from 1 species
GAUGAGGUGACCGAGAGUUUAAAGUGAUGGACUGCUAAUCCAUUGUAAUCUGCAUGCAUGGGUUUGAGUCCCAUCCUCAUCG